GACGAACGCUGGCGGCGUGCUUAACACAUGCAAGUCGAACGGUGAACGAGGGAGCUUGCUCCCUCCGGAUCAGUGGCGGACGGGUGAGUAACACGUGAGCAAUCUGCCCCGAACUCUGGGAUAAGCGUUGGAAACGACGUCUAAUACCGGAUACGACGCGGGAGGGCAUCCUCUCCGCGUGGAAAGAACUUCGGUUCGGGAUGGGCUCGCGGCCUAUCAGCUUGUUGGUGAGGUAACGGCUCACCAAGGCGACGACGGGUAGCCGGCCUGAGAGGGUGACCGGCCACACUGGGACUGAGACACGGCCCAGACUCCUACGGGAGGCAGCAGUGGGGAAUAUUGCACAAUGGGCGCAAGCCUGAUGCAGCAACGCCGCGUGAGGGACGACGGCCUUCGGGUUGUAAACCUCUUUUAGCAGGGAAGAAGCGAAAGUGACGGUACCUGCAGAAAAAGCACCGGCUAACUACGUG
rnacentral:rRNA from 1 species